AGGCAGGACUUCUUCACCCUUGACGGUUUUGAGUUCUCCAUGACCUCCCAGUUCUUCAAUGUGACUGACACCGAUGUUUACCUUAUACACCUGCCUCCUGGUGACCACUUCCCUAUGGAACAGAAAGAUACAUCUUUACUGGCCCCCACACGCAGCAAGAGAUGCACAGAUAUGCCACAAUGACCACAUCUCAGUCACGGCAUGACUCUAGAGAACUCACACCUGCUUGUUAUAAACCCACCAAUUAGAACUCCUUGAGGGAAACCUGCUUGAGUAAUGCCCAGGACCAGAUCAAAGGCUUAAGCCCCGAGGACCUUCACUCUUUCUCUCUCACUUCCCACCUAGUGGUUCACCGGGCAUAUCCCUGAUGGCCCUCCCUUUGCUCCAUUGGUCCUAUGAGGAACAUGUAUGAAACUGGGAACCAUCAAUCUCAGCAAACUGACAGAAGAAUAGAAAACCAAACACCACAUGUUCUCACUCAUAAGUGGAUGUUGAACAAUGAGAAAAGAUGGACACAGGACUUUUUCAAGAAGCUGGGACCAUUCCUUUGAAAUGUCAUCAAAAGGGAAGAUAGCUCCUUCAUCUCCCAGUUUCUGUCAGAAGGUAGAAAUCUAACCUGAGUGGAGAGCAAGUUGUAAAACUACCUUCUGCCAUGAAAAUAUGGAAACGUCUAUUUUUUCCUUUGAGUAACACCAAUUAGCAAACAUAGAUGCCCAUCAUCUUCCUACUCCAUCUCUUGGAGAGUCUCCAACCCUUUGUUUCAUCAGAGGUGAGCUCAAACUGAGUUCUG
rnacentral:lncRNA from 13 species